GGUUAAGCGACUAAGCGUACACGGUGGAUGCCCUGGCAGUCAGAGGCGAUGAAGGACGUGCUAAUCUGCGAUAAGCGUCGGUAAGGUGAUAUGAACCGUUAUAACCGGCGAUUUCCGAAUGGGGAAACCCAGUGUGAUUCGUCACACUAUCAUUAACUGAAUCCAUAGGUUAAUGAGGCGAACCGGGGGAACUGAAACAUCUAAGUACCCCGAGGAAAAGAAAUCAACCGAGAUUCCCCCAGUAGCGGCGAGCGAACGGGGAGCAGCCCAGAGCCUGAAUCAGUGUGUGUGUUAGUGGAAGCGUCUGGAAAGGCGCGCGAUACAGGGUGACAGCCCCGUACACAAAAAUGCACAUACUGUGAGCUCGAUGAGUAGGGCGGGACACGUGGUAUCCUGUCUGAAUAUGGGGGGACCAUCCUCCAAGGCUAAAUACUCCUGACUGACCGAUAGUGAACCAGUACCGUGAGGGAAAGGCGAAAAGAACCCCGGCGAGGGGAGUGAAAAAGAACCUGAAACCGUGUACGUACAAGCAGUGGGAGCACAGAGCAAUCUGUGUGACUGCGUACCUUUUGUAUAAUGGGUCAGCGACUUAUAUUCUGUAGCAAGGUUAACCGAAUAGGGGAGCCGAAGGGAAACCGAGUCUUAACUGGGCGUUAAGUUGCAGGGUAUAGACCCGAAACCCGGUGAUCUAGCCAUGGGCAGGUUGAAGGUUGGGUAACACUAACUGGAGGACCGAACCGACUAAUGUUGAAAAAUUAGCGGAUGACUUGUGGCUGGGGGUGAAAGGCCAAUCAAACCGGGAGAUAGCUGGUUCUCCCCGAAAGCUAUUUAGGUAGCGCCUCGUGAAUUCAUCUCCGGGGGUAGAGCACUGUUUCGGCAAGGGGGUCAUCCCGACUUACCAACCCGAUGCAAACUGCGAAUACCGGAGAAUGUUAUCACGGGAGACACACGGCGGGUGCUAACGUCCGUCGUGAAGAGGGAAACAACCCAGACCGCCAGCUAAGGUCCCAAAGUCAUGGUUAAGUGGGAAACGAUGUGGGAAGGCCCAGACAGCCAGGAUGUUGGCUUAGAAGCAGCCAUCAUUUAAAGAAAGCGUAAUAGCUCACUGGUCGAGUCGGCCUGCGCGGAAGAUGUAACGGGGCUAAACCAUGCACCGAAGCUGCGGCAGCGACACUAUGUGUUGUUGGGUAGGGGAGCGUUCUGUAAGCCUGUGAAGGUGUGCUGUGAGGCAUGCUGGAGGUAUCAGAAGUGCGAAUGCUGACAUAAGUAACGAUAAAGCGGGUGAAAAGCCCGCUCGCCGGAAGACCAAGGGUUCCUGUCCAACGUUAAUCGGGGCAGGGUGAGUCGACCCCUAAGGCGAGGCCGAAAGGCGUAGUCGAUGGGAAACAGGUUAAUAUUCCUGUACUUGGUGUUACUGCGAAGGGGGGACGGAGAAGGCUAUGUUGGCCGGGCGACGGUUGUCCCGGUUUAAGCGUGUAGGCUGGUUUUCCAGGCAAAUCCGGAAAAUCAAGGCUGAGGCGUGAUGACGAGGCACUACGGUGCUGAAGCAACAAAUGCCCUGCUUCCAGGAAAAGCCUCUAAGCAUCAGGUAACAUCAAAUCGUACCCCAAACCGACACAGGUGGUCAGGUAGAGAAUACCAAGGCGCUUGAGAGAACUCGGGUGAAGGAACUAGGCAAAAUGGUGCCGUAACUUCGGGAGAAGGCACGCUGAUAUGUAGGUGAAGUCCCUCGCGGAUGGAGCUGAAAUCAGUCGAAGAUACCAGCUGGCUGCAACUGUUUAUUAAAAACACAGCACUGUGCAAACACGAAAGUGGACGUAUACGGUGUGACGCCUGCCCGGUGCCGGAAGGUUAAUUGAUGGGGUCAGCGCAAGCGAAGCUCUUGAUCGAAGCCCCGGUAAACGGCGGCCGUAACUAUAACGGUCCUAAGGUAGCGAAAUUCCUUGUCGGGUAAGUUCCGACCUGCACGAAUGGCGUAAUGAUGGCCAGGCUGUCUCCACCCGAGACUCAGUGAAAUUGAACUCGCUGUGAAGAUGCAGUGUACCCGCGGCAAGACGGAAAGACCCCGUGAACCUUUACUAUAGCUUGACACUGAACAUUGAGCCUUGAUGUGUAGGAUAGGUGGGAGGCUUUGAAGUGUGGACGCCAGUCUGCAUGGAGCCGACCUUGAAAUACCACCCUUUAAUGUUUGAUGUUCUAACGUGGACCCGUAAUCCGGGUUGCGGACAGUGUCUGGUGGGUAGUUUGACUGGGGCGGUCUCCUCCUAAAGAGUAACGGAGGAGCACGAAGGUUGGCUAAUCCUGGUCGGACAUCAGGAGGUUAGUGCAAUGGCAUAAGCCAGCUUGACUGCGAGCGUGACGGCGCGAGCAGGUGCGAAAGCAGGUCAUAGUGAUCCGGUGGUUCUGAAUGGAAGGGCCAUCGCUCAACGGAUAAAAGGUACUCCGGGGAUAACAGGCUGAUACCGCCCAAGAGUUCAUAUCGACGGCGGUGUUUGGCACCUCGAUGUCGGCUCAUCACAUCCUGGGGCUGAAGUAGGUCCCAAGGGUAUGGCUGUUCGCCAUUUAAAGUGGUACGCGAGCUGGGUUUAGAACGUCGUGAGACAGUUCGGUCCCUAUCUGCCGUGGGCGCUGGAGAACUGAGGGGGGCUGCUCCUAGUACGAGAGGACCGGAGUGGACGCAUCACUGGUGUUCGGGUUGUCAUGCCAAUGGCACUGCCCGGUAGCUAAAUGCGGAAGAGAUAAGUGCUGAAAGCAUCUAAGCACGAAACUUGCCCCGAGAUGAGUUCUCCCUGACUCCUUGAGAGUCCUGAAGGAACGUUGAAGACGACGACGUUGAUAGGCCGGGUGUGUAAGCGCAGCGAUGCGUUGAGCUAACCGGUACUAAUGAACCGUGAGGCUUAACCUU
rnacentral:rRNA from 1 species